rnacentral:rRNA from 1 species
AUUGAACGCUGGCGGCAUGCCUUACACAUGCAAGUCGAACGGUAACAGGGAGCUUGCUCCGCUGACGAGUGGCGAACGGGUGAGUAAUGUAUCGGAACGUACCAUUCAGUGGGGGAUAACGUAGCGAAAGUUACGCUAAUACCGCAUAUUCUGUGCGCAGGAAAGCAGGGGAUCGUAAGACCUUGCGCUGAUUGAGCGGCCGAUAUCAGAUUAGCUAGUUGGUGAGGUAAGAGCUCACCAAGGCGACGAUCUGUAGCGGGUCUGAGAGGAUGAUCCGCCACACUGGAACUGAGACACGGUCCAGACUCCUACGGGAGGCAGCAGUGGGGAAUUUUGGACAAUGGGGGCAACCCUGAUCCAGCCAUGCCGCGUGAGUGAAGAAGGCCUUCGGGUUGUAAAGCUCUUUCAGCCGGGAAGAAAAUGCAUGGGUUAAUACCCUGUGCAGAUGACGGUACCGGAAUAAGAAGCACCGGCUAACUACGUG